rnacentral:rRNA from 1 species
GACGAACGCUGGCGGCGUGCUUAACACAUGCAAGUCGAACGGAAAGGCCCUGCUUUUGUUGGGUGCUCGAGUGGCGAACGGGUGAGUAACACGUGAGUAACCUGCCCUUGACUUUGGGAUAACUUCAGGAAACUGGGGCUAAUACCGGAUAUGAGCUCCUGCUGCAUGGUGGGGGUUGGAAAGUUUCGGCGGUUGGGGAUGGACUCGCGGCUUAUCAGCUUGUUGGUGGGGUAGUGGCUUACCAAGGCUUUGACGGGUAGCCGGCCUGGGAGGGUGACCGGCCACAUUGGGACUGAGAUACGGCCCAGACUCCUACGGGAGGCAGCAGUGGGGAAUAUUGCACAAUGGGCGGAAGCCUGAUGCAGCAACGCCGCGUGCGGGAUGACGGCCUUCGGGUUGUAAACCGCUUUCGCCUGUGACGAAGCGUGAGUGACGGUAAUGGGUAAAGAAGCACCGGCUAACUACGUG